CGCCCCGCAAGGGGAGCGGCAGACGGGUGAGUAACGCGUGGGAAUCUACCCAUCUCUACGGAACAACUCCGGGAAACUGGAGCUAAUACCGUAUACGUCCUUAUGGAGAAAGAUUUAUCGGAGAUGGAUGAGCCCGCGUUGGAUUAGCUAGUUGGUGGGGUAAUGGCCUACCAAGGCGACGAUCCAUAGCUGGUCUGAGAGGAUGAUCAGCCACACUGGGACUGAGACACGGCCCAGACUCCUACGGGAGGCAGCAGUGGGGAAUGUUGGACAAUGGGCGCAAGCCUGAUCCAGCCAUGCCGCGUGAGUGAUGAAGGCCCUAGGGUUGUAAAGCUCUUUCAACGGUGAAGAUAAUGACGGUAACCGUAGAAGAAGCCCCGGCUAACUUCGUGCCAGCAGCCGCGGUAAUACGAAGGGGGCUAGCGUUGUUCGGAAUUACUGGGCGUAAAGCGCACGUAGGCGGAUACUUAAGUCAGGGGUGAAAUCCCGGGGCUCAACCCCGGAACUGCCUUUGAUACUGGGUAUCUGGAGUCCGGAAGAGGUGAGUGGAAUUCCGAGUGUAGAGGUGAAAUUCGUAGAUAUUCGGAGGAACACCAGUGGCGAAUGCGGCUCACUGGUCCGGUACUGACGCUGAGGUGCGAAAGCGUGGGGAGCACACAGGAUUAGAUACCCUGGUAGUCCACGCCGUUAACGAUGGAAGCUAGCCGUUGGCCAGUUUACUUGUCGGUGGCGCAGCUAACGCAUUAUGCUUCCCGCCUGGGGAGUACGGUCGCCAGAUUAAUACUCAGAUGAAUUGACGGGG
rnacentral:rRNA from 1 species